rnacentral:rRNA from 1 species
GUGACUCCUACGGGAGGCAGCAGUGGGGAAUAUUGCACAAUGGGCGCAAGCCUGAUGCAGCAACGCCGUGUGAGUGAAGAAGGUUUCGGAUCGUAAAACUCUGUCCUAAGGGAAGAAACAAAUGACGGUACCUUAGGAGGAAGCCCCGGCUAACUACGUGCCAGCAGCCGCGGUAAUACGUAGGGGGCAAGCGUUAUCCGGAAUCACUGGGCGUAAAGGGUGCGUAGGCGGCUUAGCAAGCCAGGGGUGAAAGGCAUUGGCUCAACCAAUGUAAGCCUUUGGAACUGUUAAGCUUGAGUGCAGGAGAGGUAAGUGGAAUUCCUAGUGUAGAGGUGAAAUUCGUAGAUAUUAGGAGGAACACCAGUGGCGAAGGCGACUUACUGGACUGUAACUGACGCUGAUGCACGAAAGCGUGGGUAGCGAACAGGAUUAGAUACCCUGGUAG